GGCAAGAUGGCCGAGCGGUCUAAGGCGCCGCACUCAAGAGUAACAUCUUUCCGAGCAAUCGGAGUCCAUUGCGGUCUCGCAAGAGGCGGGGGUUCGAAUCCCCCUCUUGUCA